UCGAUUCCCUUAGUAGCGGCGAGCGAAACGGGAAGAGCCCAAACCAACAAGCUUGCUUGUUGGGGUUGUAGGACACUCUAUACGGAGUUACAAAGGACGACAUUAGACGAAUCAUCUGGAAAGAUGAAUCAAAGAAGGUAAUAAUCCUGUAGUCGAAAAUGUUGUCUCUCUUGAGUGGAUCCUGAGUACGACGGAGCACGUGAAAUUCCGUCGGAAUCUGGGAGGACCAUCUCCUAAGGCUAAAUACUCUCUAGUGACCGAUAGUGAACCAGUACCGUGAGGGAAAGGUGAAAAGCACCCCGGAAGGGGAGUGAAAUAGAACCUGAAACCGUGUGCUUACAAGUAGUCAGAGCCCGUUAAUGGGUGAUGGCGUGCCUUUUGUAGAAUGAACCGGCGAGUUACGAUUUGAUGCAAGGUUAAGCAGUAAAUGUGGAGCCGUAGCGAAAGCGAGUCUGAAUAGGGCGUUUAGUAUUUGGUCGUAGACCCGAAACCAGGUGAUCUACCCUUGGUCAGGUUGAAGUUCAGGUAACACUGAAUGGAGGACCGAACCGACUUACGUUGAAAAGUGAGCGGAUGAACUGAGGGUAGCGGAGAAAUUCCAAUCGAACCUGGAGAUAGCUGGUUCUCUCCGAAAUAGCUUUAGGGCUAGCCUCAAGUGAUGAUUAUUGGAGGUAGAGCACUGUUUGGACGAGGGGCCCCUCUCGGGUUACCGAAUUCAGACAAACUCCGAAUGCCAAUUAAUUUAACUUGGGAGUCAGAACAUGGGUGAUAAGGUCCGUGUUCGAAAGGGAAACAGCCCAGACCACCAGCUAAGGUCCCAAAAUAUAUGUUAAGUGGAAAAGGAUGUGGCGUUGCCCAGACAACUAGGAUGUUGGCUUAGAAGCAGCCAUCAUUUAAAGAGUGCGUAAUAGCUCACUAGUCGAGUGACACUGCGCCGAAAAUGUACCGGGGCUAAACAUAUUACCGAAGCUGUGGAUUGUCCUUUGGACAAUGGUAGGAGAGCGUUCUAAGGGCGUUGAAGCAUGAUCGUAAGGACAUGUGGAGCGCUUAGAAGUGAGAAUGCCGGUGUGAGUA
rnacentral:rRNA from 1 species